GAUCCUGGCUCAGGAUGAACGCUAGCGGCAGGCUUAACACAUGCAAGUCGUGGGGCAGCGCGAGGUAGCAAUACUUUGGCGGCGACCGGCAAACGGGUGCGGAACACGUACGCAACCUUCCUCAGAGCGGGGAAUAGCCUCUCGAAAGAGAAGAUUAAUACCCCAUAGUAUCUCGGAUUCACAUGGAUCUGAGAUUAAAGCUCCGGCACUUUGAGAUGGGCGUGCGGCUGAUUAGGUAGUUGGUAGGGUAACGGCCUACCAAGCCAACGAUCAGUAGCUGAUGUGAGAGCAUGAUCCCCCACACUGGUACUGAGACACGGACCCAGACUCCUACGGGAGGCAGCAGUGAGGAAUAUUGGUCAAUGGGUGCAAGCCUGAACCAGCCAUCCCGCGUGAAGGACGACUGCCCUAUGGGUUGUAAACUUCUUUUGUAUAGGGAUAAACCUACCCUCGUGAGGGUAGCUGAAGGUACUAUACGAAUAAGCACCGGCUAACUCCGUG
rnacentral:rRNA from 1 species